rnacentral:tRNA from 1 species
GGUCCCAUAACUCAGUCGGUUAGAGUGCAGAGCUAAUAACUCUGAAGUCGAGAGUUCGAGCCUCUCUGGGACCA